rnacentral:rRNA from 1 species
AUUGAACGCUGGCGGCAGGCCUAACACAUGCAAGUCGAACGAGUGGCGGACGGGUGAGUAAUGUCUGGGAACCUGCCCGAUGGCGGGGGAUAACUACUGGAAACGGUAGCUAAUACCGCAUACCAUCGGAUGUGCCCAGAUGGGAUUAGCUAGUGGGUGGGGUAAAGGCUCACCAAGGCGACGAUCCCUAGCUGGUCGGAGAGGACGACCAGCCACACUGGGACUGAGACACGGUCCAGACUCCUACGGGAGGCAGCAGUGGUGAAUAUUGCACAAUGGGCGAAAGCCUGAUGCAGCCAUGCCGCGUGUAUGAAGAAGGCCUUCGGGUUGUAAAGUACUUUUGGCGGGGAGGUGUUACCUGCAGAAGAAGCACCGGCUAACUCCGUGCCAGCAGCCGCGGUAAUUC